rnacentral:rRNA from 1 species
CCUACGGGUGGCAGCAGUAGGGAAUCUUUCACAAUGGGCGAAAGCCCGAUGGAGCAACGCCGCGUGCAGGAUGAAGGCCUUCGGGUUGUAAACUGCUUUUAUAAGCGAGAAAUAUGAUGGUAACUUAUGAAUAAGGAUCGGCUAACUACGUGACAGCAGCCGCGGUCAUACGUAGGAGCCGAGCAUUAUCCGGAGUGACUGGGUGUAAAGAGUGGCGUAGGUGGCUUUAUAAGUAGCUAGUGAAAUCUGGUGGCUCAACCAUUCAGACUAUUAGCGAAACUGUUAAGCUCGAGACCGUUAGGGGUAACUGGAAUUUCUGGUGUAGGAGUGAAAUCCGUAGAUAUUAGGAGGAACACCGAUGGCGUAGGCAGGUUACUGGGACGGUUCUGACACUAAGGCACGAAAGCGUAGGGAGCAAACGGGAUUAGAUACCCUUGUAGUC